rnacentral:rRNA from 1 species
CCUACGGGUGGCUGCAGUGGGGAAUAUUGGACAAUGGGCGAAAGCCUGAUCCAGCCAUGCCGCGUGUGUGAAGAAGGCCUUCGGGUUGUAAAGCACUUUCAGUGGGGAAGAAAGCCUUGGGGCUAAUACCCUCGAGGAAGUACAUCACCCACAGAAGAAGCACCGGCUAACUCCGUGCCAGCAGCCGCGGUAAUACGGAGGGUGCGAGCGUUAAUCGGAAUUACUGGGCGUAAAGCGCGCGUAGGCGGUCUGAUAAGCCGGUUGUGAAAGCCCCGGGCUCAACCUGGGAACGGCAUCCGGAACUGUCAGGCUAGAGUGCAGGAGAGGAAGGUAGAAUUCCCGGUGUAGCGGUGAAAUGCGUAGAGAUCGGGAGGAAUACCAGUGGCGAAGGCGGCCUUCUGGACUGACACUGACGCUGAGGUGCGAAAGCGUGGGUAGCAAACAGGAUUAGAUACCCUGGUAGUC